CUGAAGGAGGAGACCAGCCUCCUUGAAGAAAAGCAGGCAGAGCUGGACAUCUACGACGCUGUGCUCCAGGAGUGGGUUGCUGAGGUGCAGCAGUGGCCUGAAGCCACACUUCAGGAUAGUCAGACAGGGCAGACGGGGCAUCUCCAGAAGAAGAUUGAGGGGCUUUACCUCAUUGUGAAACAGAGGAAACACUACCUAUACCGUUUGACAGAGGAGGCAUCAGAUUCUGAGAAAUUGUUAUGGACAAGGCAGCCUUAACAGCUGCCAUUGUUCAACUUCACGAGCAGCAGGCAGAGUUUAGGCUCCCCACAGUGGCUGCUCAAUACUGACAACUUUGUGUGGCCAUGGGAGAGACUUGGCACCAGCAACAGCCAUUUUGCCAUCAAAAAGGCAAUCUUCAACAGACUGAUGUUGGUGAACAGACUGCAGGAGGAAGAGAGGAUCCUGGUGCAGGAGAUGAAGAAGCACUGGGGGAGCCUACAAAGAGCAGCGGGAACUCUGGAGGCACUGUCCCAACAGCUGCAAGAUCAGAGGAAGUUGAGGCAAUGCAGUGGAGUUGUCAGAGGGAGGAAUGGCCUUCUCUGCCACCUGAAGAGAAGAGUGAGUUAACUGACACAAGAUCAAGACAACACCAGGAACACCUACCACAAGCUGAUUCUGGGAGAAGGGGCUUUUUGAUGACUCUGAUGUAGAUGAAGUUAGAAGUCCUAUUGCUGAGAGCUCAGAUGACGACUGCUAUGCUUUCUGAAAUCAUACACCACCCUGCCUCUUUCUCUCGGUCUUGCUCUCUCCCGCAGGAGAGGGAGAAGGCAGCCACCACCUCCCUCGGGAGCAGCCUGGUCUUCCGACGUUGACCCCUGACUCCUCACCUUCUGAACCCAUCCAGGGAAAUGUAAUUUGCCUGAUGACGCGCUAGUGGAAUGUCUAAUUUCAGUGCAUUUUUGCCAUGUUUCCUCUCCUCACCUCCGUUUCUUCCAGUCCUAGAUGAUGGCGACAUCAUUAGCAACUCAGAAUGUCGGUUGAGGACCUCUUUACUGAGGAAUGUGGUUGUUUGUUUUAUUUUUAUUUUCUUUGAGUAUUUUCUGUGCUGCUGUGAUUGUGAUUUUUGUGUAAUUGUGUGUUGCAAAAGAGUCCUUAGUCUCUGGGACUGCGAAAAUAA